rnacentral:rRNA from 1 species
AUUGAACGCUGGCGGCAGGCCUAACACAUGCAAGUCGAACGGUAACAGGAAGAAUCUUGCUUCUUUGCUGACGAGUGGCGGGCGUGUGAGUAAUGUCUGGGAAACUGCCUGAUGGAGGGGGAUAACUACUGGAAACGGUUGCUAAUACCGCAUAGCGUCGCAAGACCAAAAAGGGGGACCUUCGGGCCUCUUGCCAUCGGAUGUGCCCAGGUGGGAUUAGCUAGUAGGUGGGGUAACGGCUCACCUAGGCGACGAUCCCUAGCUGGUCUGAGAGGAUGAUCAGCCACACUGGAACUGAGACACGGUCCAGACUCCUACGGGAGGCAGCAGUGGGGAAUAUUGGACAAUGGGCGCAAGCCUGAUGCAGCCAUGCCGCGUGUAUGAAGAAGGCCUUCGGGUUGUAAAGUACUUUCAGUGGGGAGGAAGGGAGGAAAGUUAAUACCUUUGCUCAUUGACGUUACCAGCAGAAGAAGCACCGGCUAACUUCGUG